GACGGACGCUGGCGGCGUGCUUAACACAUGCAAGUCGAACGGAAAGGCCCUGCUUUUGUGGGGUGCUCGAGUGGCGAACGGGUGAGUAACACGUGAGUAACCUGCCCUUGACUUUGGGAUAACUUCAGGAAACUGGGGCUAAUACCGGAUAGGAGCUCCUGCUGCAUGGUGGGGGUUGGAAAGUUUCGGCGGUUGGGGAUGGACUCGCGGCUUAUCAGCUUGUUGGUGGGGUAGUGGCUUACCAAGGCUUUGACGGGUAGCCGGCCUGAGAGGGUAACCGGCCACAUUGGGACUGAGAUACGGCCCAGACUCCUACGGGAGGCAGCAGUGGGGAAUAUUGCACAAUGGGCGGAAGCCUGAUGCAGCAACGCCGCGUGCGGGAUGACGGCCUUCGGGUUGUAAACCGCUUUCGCCUGUGACGAAGCGUGAGUGACGGUAAUGGGUAAAGAAGCACCGGCUAACUACGUG
rnacentral:rRNA from 1 species